UCGUAACAAGGUUUCCGUAGGUGAACCUGCGGAAGGAUCAUUACCGAGUGAGGGUCCCUCGGGGCCCAACCUCCCAUCCGUGUUGACUUGACCCCUGUUGCUUCGGCGGGCCCGCCGUGGUUCACGCCCCGGCCGCCGGGGGGUUCACGCCCCCGGGCCCGCGCCCGCCGAAGACCCCUGGAACGCUGCCUUGAAGGUUGCCGUCUGAGUAUACAAUCAAUGAAUUAAAACUUUCAACAACGGAUCUCUUGGUUCCGGCAUCGAUGAAGAACGCAGCGAAAUGCGAUAAGUAAUGUGAAUUGCAGAAUUCCGUGAAUCAUCGAAUCUUUGAACGCACAUUGCGCCCCCUGGCAUUCCGGGGGGCAUGCCUGUCCGAGCGUCAUUGCUAACCCUCCAGCCCGGCUGGUGUGUUGGGCCGCCGUCCCCCCCGGGGGACGGGCCCGAAAGGCAGCGGCGGCGUCGCGUCCGGUCCUCGAGCGUAUGGGGCUUUGUCACGCGCUUCAGUAGGACCGGCCGGCUUGCUGGCCAACGACCUUCACGGUCACACCUAUAUUUUCUCUUAGGUUGACCUCGGAUCAGGUAGGGAUACCCGCUGAACUUAAGCAUAUCAAUAA
rnacentral:misc_RNA from 1 species